GUGUCAGCAGCCGCGGUAAUACGAAGGGGGCUAGCGUUGCUCGGAAUUACUGGGCGUAAAGGGCGCGUAGGCGGCACUGUUAGUCAGGCGUGAAAGUCCUGGGCUCAACCUGGGAACUGCGCUUGAUACGGCAGAGCUAGAGGAUGGAAGAGGGUCGCGGAAUUCCCAGUGUAGAGGUGAAAUUCGUAGAUAUUGGGAAGAACACCGGUGGCGAAGGCGGCGACCUGGUCCAUUACUGACGCUGAGGCGCGACAGCGUGGGGAGCAAACAGGAUUAGAAACCCGCGUAGUCC
rnacentral:rRNA from 1 species